UCUGAACGUUUGACCUCGGAUCAGGUAGGAAUACCCGCUGAA
rnacentral:rRNA from 1 species